GGGCCGUUAGCUCAGCUGGAUCAGAGCACGGGAUUUCUAAUCCUGGGGUCGAGGGUUCGAGUCCUUCACGGCCCGCCA
rnacentral:tRNA from 2 species